UACGUAGGGCGCAAGCGUUAUCCGGAAUUAUUGGGCGUAAAGAGCUCGUAGGCGGAUUGUCGCGUCUGCUGUGAAAUCCCGAGGCUCAACCUCGGGCCUGCAGUGGGUACGGGCAAACUAGAGUGCGGUAGGGGAGAUUGGAAUUCCUGGUGUAGCGGUGGAAUGCGCAGAUAUCAGGAGGAACACCGAUGGCGAAGGCAGAUCUCUGGGCCGUAACUGACGCUGAGGAGCGAAAGCGUGGGGAGCGAACAGG
rnacentral:rRNA from 1 species